UCAGCGCCUGCUUCAUGCGCGGCAGUUUGCCGUCCUUGUCGAGAAGACCAGCCCGAUGCGUCACGCCGAUCAGCGUUCCGGCAUUGUCGAAUACGUCGAUGAACAGAAAGCUGAACACCACGAUCAGGAACGUCAGUUCGGUGGCGCGCGAGAAAUCGAGUUGCAGCAAUGUCGGCGACAGUGACGGCGGCAGCGACACCACGCCGUUGAAGCUGGUCAAUCCCAGCGGCAGCCCGNNNNNNNNNUCAAUGUGCCGCUGGCGAUACCCCGCGCAUUCAUCGCCACGAUCAGCGCAAAACCCAAAAGG
rnacentral:misc_RNA from 1 species